GACGAACGCUGGCGGCGUGCUUAACACAUGCAAGUCGAACGGAAAGGCCCUGCUUGCAGGGUACUCGAGUGGCGAACGGGUGAGUAACACGUGGGUGAUCUGCCCUGCACUUCGGGAUAAGCCUGGGAAACUGGGUCUAAUACCGGAUAUGACCUUCCAUGUAGUGUGGGGGGUGGAAAGAUUUAUCGGUGUGGGAUGAGCCCGCGGCCUAUCAGCUUGUUGGUGGGGUAAUGGCCUACCAAGGCGUCGACGGGUAGCCGGCCUGAGAGGGUGGACGGCCACAUUGGGACUGAGAUACGGCCCAGACUCCUACGGGAGGCAGCAGUGGGGAAUAUUGCACAAUGGGCGAAAGCCUGAUGCAGCGACGCCGCGUGGGGGAUGACGGCCUUCGGGUUGUAAACCUCUUUCGACAGGGACGAAGCUUCGGUGACGGUACCUGUAUAAGAAGCACCGGCUAACUACGUG
rnacentral:rRNA from 1 species